rnacentral:misc_RNA from 1 species
GAUGAAGAACGCAGCGAAAUGCGAUACUUGGUGUGAAUUGCAGAAUCCCGUGAACCAUCGAGUCUUUGAACGCAAGUUGCGCCCGAAGCCGUCAGGCCGAGGGCACGCCUGCCUGGGCGUCACACGCCGUUGCCCCCCCGCGCCCCGCACCCAACUCUUUGGGAGCGACCGCGGGGCGGGCUGAUGAUGGCCUCCCGUGCGCUCCGCCGCGCGGUUGGCCCAAAUACCGAGUCCCCGGCGACGUGCGCCACGACGAUCGGUGGUCGAGAGACCUCUGUCGCAAGUCGUGCGCGCCCGUCGCGUCACGCGGGCUCGCAUAGCGCCUCGCGCCGCACCCGGUGCGGAGCUUUCAACGCGACCCCAGGUCAGGCGGGGUUACCCGCUGAGUUUAAGCAUAUCAAUAAGCGGAGGA